rnacentral:rRNA from 1 species
UACGGGGGGAGCAAGCGUUGUUCGGAUUUACUGGGCGUAAAGGGCGCGUAGGCGGCCAUCACAAGUCAGUUGUGAAAUCUCCGAGCUUAACUCGGAAAGGUCAACUGAUACUGUGCGGCUAGAGUGCGGAAGGGGCAACUGGAAUUCUUGGUGUAGCGGUGAAAUGCGUAGAUAUCAAGAGGAACACCUGCGGCGAAGGCGGGUUGCUGGGCCGACACUGACGCUGAGGCGCGAAAGCCAGGGGAGCGAACGGG